ACGCUGGCGGGCAGGCCUAACACAUGCAAGUCGAGCGGUAGAGAGAAGCUUGCUUCUCUUGAGAGCGGCGGACGGGUGAGUAAUGCCUAGGAAUCUGCCUGGUAGUGGGGGAUAACGUUCGGAAACGGACGCUAAUACCGCAUACGUCCUACGGGAGAAAGCAGGGGACCUUCGGGCCUUGCGCUAUCAGAUGAGCCUAGGUCGGAUUAGCUAGUUGGUGAGGUAAUGGCUCACCAAGGCGACGAUCCGUAACUGGUCUGAGAGGAUGAUCAGUCACACUGGAACUGAGACACGGUCCAGACUCCUACGGGAGGCAGCAGUGGGGAAUAUUGGACAAUGGGCGAAAGCCUGAUCCAGCCAUGCCGCGUGUGUGAAGAAGGUCUUCGGAUUGUAAAGCACUUUAAGUUGGGAGGAAGGGCAGUUACCUAAUACGUGAUUGUUUUGACGUUACCGACAGAAUAAGCACCGGCUAACUCUGUGCCAGCAGCCGCGGUAAUACAGAGGGUGCAAGCGUUAAUCGGAAUUACUGGGCGUAAAGCGCGCGUAGGUGGUUUGUUAAGUUGGAUGUGAAAUCCCCGGGCUCAACCUGGGAACUGCAUUCAAAACUGACUGACUAGAGUAUGGUAGAGGGUGGUGGAAUUUCCUGUGUAGCGGUGAAAUGCGUAGAUAUAGGAAGGAACACCAGUGGCGAAGGCGACCACCUGGACUGAUACUGACACUGAGGUGCGAAAGCGUGGGGAGCAAAC
rnacentral:rRNA from 1 species